CCGCCUGCGUUUUAUUCUCCUCGUGCUUAAAACAGUAUAAAUACGGAUUCGAGAUCUCUAUUCAGACAUAACACAUCUUUUUGUGCAAUUUUAUUCUUUGGUGAGUACUCACAACUUUUAUAAUAUAUAUACGAGAACGAAAACAAUUCAUUUUCUGAUCGGUUGAUUUUAUUAUUGUUUUUUUUUUUUUUUUAUUCCUGUUUGUAGUCUUCACUUCGUUUCACGAAAACAAAACCAAAUAUCAAAAAUGGGCGCUGAAAAGGUAUCCAUGAACAUCGUUGUCGUCGGACAAGUCCAACCUGCCAAGGCCAUCAAAGCCGUCGCAAAGGCCGCUCCAGCCACCAGCCAACUUAUGGUGAGUGUAUUAAUACUGUUUAAUAGCACUUAUUAAUUAUUCCUCAAAGACAUACAUUUUUUUCAUUUUUCUACUAAGCGAUGAUAACUUUAAAAUCGAUAUUUUUCGCGACGAAUAUUUAAAAAAAAAAUUAAANGAACAUCGUUGUCGUCGGACAAGUCCAAUCUGCCAAGGCCAUCAAAGCCGUCGCAAAGGCCGCCCCAGCCACCAGCCAACUUAUGGUGAGUGUAUUAAUACUGUUUAAUAGCACUUAUUAAUUAUUCCUCAUACUCAUACAUUUUCUUCAAUUUUCUACUAAGCGAUGAUAAUUUUAAAAUCGAUAUUUUUCCCGACGAAUAUUUUAAAAUAAAAUUAAACUUUUUUCUAACGUUUUUAAUCAUUA